AAUAAGUACAGUUUUACAUUAUUUUCGUUCAACGUUUGACCAUUCGUCUUAUUUAAAAAUUUUUUAUAAUUAGUAUUUUUAUUGUUAUUAGAUGAUAAAACAUGAAUAAUACUUUAUGUGUGACUAAAUAUUUUUAAAUUUUUUAUAAUUUUUUUAAAUAAGAUGGAUGGUUAAACGUUGGGCAUGGAUAUUCACAGCUGCACUUAUU
rfam:Oryza glaberrima chromosome 6 Oglab06_0045_2, whole genome shotgun sequence.